UAUUACAGACUGGGUCAGGUUGAGACAUGUUGGUAUUACAGACUGGGUCAGGUUGAGACAUGUAGGUAUUACAGACUGGGUCAGGGUCAGGUUGAGACAUGUAGGUAUUACAGACUGGGUCAGGUUGAGACAUGUAGGUAUUACAGACUGG